UACGGAGGAGGCAAGCGUUAUCCGGAAUUAUUGGGCGUAAAGGGUCCGCAGGUGGUCCGGUCAGUCCGCUGUCAAAGCCUGGGGCUCAACCCUGGAGAGGCGGCGGAGACCACCGGGCUUGAGUCCGGUAGGGGCAGAGGGAAUUCCCGGUGGAGCGGUGAAAUGCGUAGAGAUCGGGAAGAACGCCAAGGGCGAAGGCACUCUGGGACGUGACUGACGCUGAGACGCGAAAGCGUGGGGAGCAAACAGG
rnacentral:rRNA from 1 species